rnacentral:rRNA from 1 species
UACAGAGGUCCCAAGCGUUGUUCGGAUUCAUUGGGCGUAAAGGGGUGCGUAGGUGGCGCGCUAAGUCAGGUGUGAAAUUUCGGAGCUUAACUCCGAAACUGCAUUUGAUACUGGCGUGCUUGAGGACUGGAGAGGAGACUGGAAUUUACGGUGUAGCAGUGAAAUGCGUAGAGAUCGUAAGGAAGACCAGUGGCGAAGGCGGGUCUCUGGACAGUUCCUGACACUGAGGCACGAAGGCCAGGGGAGCAAACGGG